rnacentral:rRNA from 1 species
CACGACUUAUAACCUUUCUAUAAUUUACCUCAUGAAUCUUACCUAAAAGUAAAAAGGCUUUUAUAAACAAGAAGGACAACAAGACCCUGACGAGCUUUACAAAAUUUAGCUGGGGCAGCUAACAAACAAAAAUCUUGUACACCUCAACAUACAGACCCGGAACAACCGAACAAAAAUCAAGCUACCGCAGGGAUAACAGCGAAACUAGAAUAAAGAGACCCUAUCCAAAUUCUAUCCUUCGACCUCGAUGUUGAAUUAACGUCACUAUACUUAGCAAAAAAAGUACAAGUAGGUCUGUUCGACCUCUAACACGUUACAUGAUUUGAGUUCAGACCGGCGCAAGCCAGGUCAGCUUAUAUCCUCUUCAAAGUCAGUAUUAGUACGAAAGGACCAUACAAAAAAUUCGA